UAGGGAUUGUUAACCUGCUUUAAGUUAUCAUAAACACGCAUAAAAAAUUCAGAAAAUAUUUGAGAAGUCACCUUUCUAAAUGUUAGUGGUGGAUUACUGUUAUAGAGUAAAAACAGACUGUGAAUUGAUUUUUGUACCUUUCCUGACAUUAAGGUUUCCUGUGUCCAAG